rnacentral:rRNA from 1 species
CUCCUUUUGCUUUUUUUUGCUUGGUCGUGCAGUUUGGAUCACGCCGACUACCAGCUGAAUCAACAACAAAAAAUGAUCCCAGGGACGAACGGCGGCGAUGAGUGGUUUGGGGCUAGGUGAGCGGCGGCCGUCGUCCCGCAACGAUAUGAGUGGGCCCAGCGGGAGCUCGGACUCUACGCUGUUCUCUCAAGCCCGGUGUGGUGGACGACGCCUCGCCAGCAACAAACACCUGGCCAUAGUCGGGCACAGUCCGUGACUCAGGGGUUGGAGGCAUCCUUGUCUAGCCGAUGAGCUGGUUAUGGUCGGGCGGGCAGCGCGGCGUGGCUGCUGCGUGAAGAGUGAUUAUCACUCCGACAGGUGGAUGCACACGUAUAAUGGGUGUGUCAUGGCUGUAUUUUUCCCGUGACUAUCGGAAAGUAAUCUCCUUUAUAUGACUAUAUUUUGGGGGGAAUUUGUACUUAGAUGGCUAAGCAACAAAGGCAGGAGAUUCCAGCGAUAGAUUUGAGGUCGGCGCCUCACGAAGGCAUGCUCCUUGCCGGGAGAGGCAGGGGCAUCCUUUCUUGGUCUGCAUCUUUCACCUCUGUUGCUUCAGGUGAGCCC